AUCUCCUCUGCGAGCUCAGGAAGGUGGCUGGGGGAGGGGGAUGGCUCCCUACUGCCGAGGGACGGCCCGAGGCAAACACAAAGCCCUUCCCUCCCCUCCUCCUCUUUCCUCUCCUCUCCCCUCCCCUCCCCUCCUUUCUCCCCCUUCCUCCUCUUCCUCCUCCUCCUCUUGCUCCUCCCGGGCGGGGAAACCCAGCCCCGCGCUCGUCUUUGGGGCCACCGGUCGCCCCCGCCUCCGGGACCUGCGGGGAGGGCCCGCGAGAGAUGGAGACGAGAGAUCUGGACUUCUGAACAUCUACCGGAAAAGAUAAAAUGUGCAAGCCCUUCAGAACGCUGGGGAGGUUGGGCUGAACUGCAGUGGGAGAGGAGAAGAGAUGCUGGCGUGAAGGGGUAAUUCAUUAUUGAGAAAGCAAUUUAUGCUAGUUAAGAGAAGGCCUAUAAUGAGGCA
rnacentral:lncRNA from 1 species